CCCUUAGAUGGUCUGGGCGGCACGCGCGCUACAAUGAUGCAUUCAAAAAGUCUUCUGACCUUAGGAGGUUGGGUAUUCUCCAAAGUGCAUCGUGAUGGGAAUAGUUUAUUGCAAUUUUUAAUCUUGAACGAGGAAUUCCUAGUAAGUACAGGUCAUCAACUUGUGUUGAUUACGUCCCUGCCCUUUGUACACACCGCCCGUCGCUCCUACUGAUUGAGUGUCUCGGUGAAUUCUUUGAUCUUCUGUCGAUUCAGUUCACUGAUCCGACGGUGGAAAGUUGAAUGAACUUCGUCACUUAGAGGAAGGAGAAGUCGUAACA
rnacentral:rRNA from 1 species